rnacentral:lncRNA from 1 species
GAAACGUCAUGUACUCCACUCGCUGUUGGGAGAUCUUGCUCAUGUACAGAUUAAGCCACAAGUUGAUGAACCACCAGGGUCCACCUGAGUUUCCAAUCGGCUCUCCUUUGGAUAGCUUGACACCGAUCUGGUGCAACAUAUGAUAGACCGAUCCCAAUAGAUGCUUUCCAAGAGGGACAGAAGCUCCUAUCGAUAGCGCCUCGGCCAGAGCCUGCGUGUUAGUGGAUGGACCAGCCGCCCUC